rnacentral:rRNA from 1 species
UACGAAGGGUGCAAGCGUUAAUCGGAAUUACUGGGCGUAAAGCGUGCGUAGGCGGUGCCUUAAGUCUGUUGUGAAAUCCCCGGGCUCAACCUGGGAAUGGCAAUGGAUACUGGGUCGCUAGAGUGUGAUAGAGGAUGGUGGAAUUCCCGGUGUAGCGGUGAAAUGCGUAGAGAUCGGGAGGAACAUCAGUGGCGAAGGCGGCCAUCUGGAUCAACACUGACGCUGAGGCACGAAAGCGUGGGGAGCAAACAGG